AGAGUUUGAUCCUGGCUCAGGAUGAACGCUGGCGGCGUGCCUAACACACGCAAGUCGAACGGGGUUGACUUACGGAAGUUUUCGGAUGGAAGUGAGUCAACUUAGUGGCGGACGGGUGAGUAACGCGUGGGCAACCUGCCCCAUGUCGGGGGAUACCGCCUGGAAACAGGCGCUAAUACCGCAUAAGCGCAUACAGCCGCAUGGCAGUAUGCGGAAAGCUCCGGCGGCAUGGGAUGGGCCCGCGCCCGAUUAGCCAGUUGGCGGGGUAACGGCCCACCAAAGCGUCGAUCGGUAGCCGGCCUGAGAGGGCGGACGGCCACAUUGGGGACUGAGACACGGCCCCAAACUCCUACGGGAGGCAGCAGUGGGGGAAUAUUGCACAAAUGGGGGGAAACCCUGAUGCAGCGACGCCGCGUGGGUGAAGGAGCGUUUUGGCGCGUAAAACCCUGUCCGCGGGGAAGAAGAAAGACGGUACCCGACCCAGAAGCCCCGGCUAACUACGUGCCAGCAGCCGCGGUAAUACGUAGGGGGCGAGCGUUAUCCGGAAUUACUGGGUGUAAAGGGAGCGUAGACGGCGAGGUAAGCCUGAAGUGGAAGCCCGCGGCCCAACCGCGGAACUGCUUUGGGAACUGUUUUGCUGGAGUAUGGGAGGGGUAAGCGGAAUUCCUGGUGUAGCGGUGAAAUGCGUAGAUAUCAGGAGGAACACCGGUGGCGAAGGCGGCUUACUGGACCAUAACUGACGUUGAGGCUCGAAAGCGUGGGGAGCGAACAGGAUUAGAUACCCUGGUAGUCCACGCCGUAAACGAUGAUUACUAGGUGUCGGGUGUCGAAGGACGGCCGGUGCCGCAGCGAACGCAGUAAGUAAUCCACCUGGGGAGUACGUUCGCAAGAAUGAAACUCAAAGGAAUUGACGGGGACCCGCACAAGCGGUGGAGCAUGUGGUUUAAUUCGAAGCAACGCGAAGAACCUUACCCGGCCUUGACAUCCCCCUGACAGUAUCUGUAACGGAUAUUUCCUUCGGGACAGGGGAGACAGGUGGUGCAUGGUCGUCGUCAGCUCGCGUCGUGAGAUGUUGGGUCAAGUCCCGCAACGAGCGCAACCCCUGCCCCCAGUAGCCAGCAUGAAAGGUGGGCACUCUGGGGGGACUGCCGGGGAUAACCCGGAGGAAGGCGGGGAUGACGUCAAAUCAUCAUGCCCCUUAUGGCCGGGGCUACACACGUGCUACAAUGGCGUAAACAGAGGGAAGCGAGACAGCGAUGUUAAGCGAACCCCAAAAAUAACGUCCCAGUUCGGAUUGCAGCCUGCAACUCGGCUGCAUGAAGCUGGAAUCGCUAGUAAUCGCGGAUCAGAAUGCCGCGGUGAAUACGUUCCCGGGUCUUGCACACACCGCCCGUCA
rnacentral:rRNA from 1 species